rnacentral:piRNA from 1 species
UGAGUGAAGCGAAUUCCAACCGGCG